GUAUGAUUCAAUACCCUAAAGGCACCAGCUCACAUCUGAUCUUGGAAGCGAAGUAGGGUCAGCUCUGGUUAGCACCCAGAUGUAAGGCAACCAAUGAAUCCUAGGUGCUGCAGGAUACAUUUCAGAGGAACAUACU
rnacentral:rRNA from 11 species